rnacentral:rRNA from 1 species
GAUCCUGGCUCAGGAUGAACGCUAGCUACAGGCUUAACACAUGCAAGUCGAGGGGCAGCAUUUCAGUUUGCUUGCAAACUGGAGAUGGCGACCGGCGCACGGGUGAGUAACACGUAUCCAACCUGCCGAUAACUCGGGGAUAGCCUUUCGAAAGGAAGAUUAAUACCCAAUGGCAUAAUUAGACCGCAUGGUCUUGUUAUUAAAGAAUUUCGGUUAUCGAUGGGGAUGCGUUCCAUUAGGCAG